rnacentral:rRNA from 1 species
GACGAACGCUGGCGGCGUGCUUAACACAUGCAAGUCGAACGGAAAGGCCCUGCUUUUGUGGGGUGCUCGAGUGGCGAACGGGUGAGUAACACGUGUGUACCCUGCCCUUCACUUUGGUAUAACUUCAGGAAACUGGGGCUAAUACCGGAUAGGAGCUCCUGCUGCAUGGUGGGGGUUGGAAAGUUUCGGCGGUUGGGGAUGGACGCGCGGCUUAUCAGCUUGUUGGUGGGGUAGUGGCUUACCAAGGCUUUGACGGGUAGCCGGCCUGUGAGGUGGACCGGCCAAAUGGGAAUUGGGAUACGGCCCAGACCCCAACGGGGGGCACCAGUGGGGAUAUUUCCAAAAGGGGCGGAAGCCGGAUGCAGCAAGCUCGCGUGGGGGAUGAGGGCCUUCGGGUUGAAACCCGCUUUCGCCUGGGACGAAGCGUGAGUGACGGUAACGGGUAAAGAAGCACCGGCUAACUACGUG